AUAUAUCAACUCUCUUCAGCUUUUUUGCAUGUUGAGUUGUUGGAUGUGGGGGAUAUUAUUUGCUGGACUCUCUUGAGGUCAGCUCCCCUCAAAAACAUUAGCAAAACAAUUUGUUUACUGCUCAUUGGUGUGAUAAUUAUCUACGCUAUUGACAGUAAAGCACAGUUUAGCUUCUUAACAGUCCAUUGACUUGGACAAUCUUUUUUAUCAA
rnacentral:misc_RNA from 1 species